AACGCACAUUGCGCCCACUGGUAUUCCGGUGGGCAUGCCUGUUCGAGCGUCAUUAUCCUCCCUCAAACCCCAGGUUUGGUGUUGGACCCAAGUUGUGUGAACAACUGGUCUCAAAGACAAUGACGGCGUCCGUGGGACCCUCGGUGCAACGAGCUUUUAGGAGCACGCAUCGAGUUGCAAGGACCUUCCGGGCCGGUCUCCUUUACUAUUUUACAAGGUUGACCUCGGAUCAGGUAGGAAUACCCGCUGAACUUAA
rnacentral:misc_RNA from 1 species